rnacentral:piRNA from 1 species
AGAUCAAAAGGAAAAGGACGAGA